GGGGAUGUAGCUCAGUGGUAGAGCGCAUGCUUUGCAUGUAUGAGGCCCCUGGUUCGAAACCCGGCUUCUCCA
rnacentral:tRNA from 1 species